UGAUUGGCCACACACAUAGAAGAGGCAAUUAUCUGAACAUAGGCCUACUUGACCAUUAAGUAGCUGGCCUUAUUUCAUGUUUAAAAUCAGUGUUAUGGCUUCAUAUAUUAUAUAAAUAUAAUUUAUUACUAUCAAUCAAUCAGUCAAUCAAUUUAUACAUUUUGGAGUUCAAACACAUUGGACAUUUUUCUUCUCCCGUAAGUGCAAAAUAAACCGAACCGAAACCGAAAUCAUGACCCAAAAAACGCAAUACAAAUCGUAACAUGGGCUUGUUGAACCGUUGCACCACUAGUACACAUGUAAUGCAGAGCAGACUAUUAACAU